rfam:Ciona savignyi cont_34092, whole genome shotgun sequence.
UCCUACAUGGUCUAGUAGUUAGGAUUCCUGGCUUUCACCUAGGCGGCCCGGGUUCGAUUUCCGGUGUAGGAA